CAUGCAAGUCGUGCGAGAAAGUAUCUUCGGAUAUGAGUAGAGCGGCGGACGGGUGAGUAACGCGUAGGAAUCUACCUAGUAGAAGGGGAUAGCCCGGGGAAACUCGGAUUAAUACCGUAUACCUCCUUCGGGAGAAAGAAGGCCUCUCAUUGAAGCUUUCGCUACUAGAUGAGCCUGCGUAAGAUUAGCUUGUUGGUGAGGUAAAGGCUCACCAAGGCGACGAUCUUUAGCGGGUCUGAGAGGACGAUCCGCCACAUUGGGACUGAGACACGGCCCAGACUCCUACGGGAGGCAGCAGUGGGGAAUAUUGGACAAUGGGCGCAAGCCUGAUCCAGCCAUACCGCGUGUGUGAAGAAGGCCCUAGGGUUGUAAAGCACUUUAAGUUGGGAAGAGAAGUUAUUGGUUAAUACCCAAUAGCCGUGACAUUACCAUCAGAAUAAGGACCGGCUAAUUCCGUGCCAGCAGCCGCGGUAAUACGGAAGGUCCAAGCGUUAAUCGGAAUUACUGGGCGUAAAGCGCGCGUAGGUGGUUUAUUAAGUUGGAUGUGAAAUCCCCGGGCUCAACCUGGGAACUGCAUCCAAAACUGAUUCACUAGAGUACGAUAGAGGGAGGUAGAAUUCACAGUGUAGCGGUGGAAUGCGUAGAUAUUGUGAAGAAUACCAAUGGCGAAGGCAGCCUCCUGGAUCUGUACUGACA
rnacentral:rRNA from 1 species